UACGUAGGGUGCAAGCGUUGUCCGGAAUUAUUGGGCGUAAAGGGCUCGUAGGCGGUCUGUCGCGUCGGGAGUGAAAACUCAGGGCUUAACCCUGAGCCUGCUUCCGAUACGGGCAGACUAGAGGUAUGCAGGGGAGAACGGAAUUCCUGGUGUAGCGGUGGAAUGCGCAGAUAUCAGGAGGAACACCGGUGGCGAAGGCGGUUCUCUGGGCAUUACCUGACGCUGAUGCGCGAAAGCCAGGGGAGCGAACGGG
rnacentral:rRNA from 1 species